GUGAAUCCAAUUGAAAUGAGCUGGAAUGGAGACUCGAUGACAAUGUAAAUUUCCUGAAAUGGACCAUUUCACUACGUAGUUCGUACGUACCUUCUUCGUACGUAUUCGCUUUUACUGUUUGCAAUCCAAAACGUCCAUGUUUUCUUUUGACUUGAUUCAAUUCUAUUUUUUCCUCUAACGGCACUUUAAAUAUUUGUAACCCUAUCAAAGCACUUAAAUUUCUCUUCUAAUUAAAUCUUGAUGUUUAUGUUGUAGAUUUGUUGGUUCAUGUUCUUCGUAACUUGUGUUUUGAUACAUUUUCUAUUUA